AAGGUUUCACAGUUGGCAGAUGGC
rnacentral:piRNA from 1 species